rnacentral:rRNA from 1 species
GAGUUUGAUCAUGGCUCAGAUUGAACGCUGGCGGCAGGCUUAACACAUGCAAGUCGAGCGGAAACGAUGGGAGCUUGCUCCCAGGCGUCGAGCGGCGGACGGGUGAGUAACGCGUAGGAAUCUACCCAGUAGAGGGGGAUAGCCCGGGGAAACCCGGAUUAAUACCGCAUACGCCCUAAGGGGGAAAGGCCGGGAUCUUCGGACCGGUCACUAUUGGAUGAGCCUGCGUAAGAUUAGCUAGUUGGUGGGGUAAAGGCCUACCAAGGCGACGAUCUUUAGCUGGUCUGAGAGGAUGAUCAGCCACACUGGAACUGAGACACGGUCCAGACUCCUACGGGAGGCAGCAGUGGGGAAUAUUGGACAAUGGGCGCAAGCCUGAUCCAGCCAUGCCGCGUGUGUGAAGAAGGCUCUAGGGUUGUAAAGCACUUUCAGUAGGGAGGAAGGCCAGAGGCUUAAUAAGUCUUUGGAUUGACGUUACCUACAGAAGCAGCACCGGCUAACUCCGUGCCAGCAUCCGCGGUAAUACGGAGGGUGCAAGCGUUAAUCGGAAAUUACUGGGCGUAAAGCGCGCGUAGGCGGG